rnacentral:sRNA from 1 species
CUUAUGAGUCCUCUACAUUACAGUUAGUUGUUUGUGUGGCAGUCUCCCAUUCUAGCCCAAGUUCCUUGAGAAAGGCCGUAUUUUAUUUUUCUCUACGUAUCUAUCCCAUAGCCCAGCUUCUGCAUGUGGCAGAUGCUUCAUAAACGUUUUUAAGGAAUGACUAUUAUGUUCCAUUUGGAUAUAUCCUGUGCUUGACAUAAAGUUCAGUGUCUUCCUAAAGUUUGCUACUUAUUUCUAAAUGUAGGAUUGUAUUUGGUCAUUUUGUUUUCCAGAGUCCCUGUGAAGCAGGAAGAAUGAGGGCAGGUUCACUGCAGCUCAGCAGCACGUCUGCAGGGAAUUCAUCUUUGAGAAGGACAAAGCGAAAAGCACCUUCCCCACCCUCCAAAAUACCCCCGCAUCAAAGUGAUGAAAAUAGUCGUGUGACUGCCUUACAGCCAGUAGAUGGAGUUCUUCCAGACAGUGCUUCAGAAGCAAACUCUCCAGAGGAGCUAUCCAGCCCAGCUGGAAUAAGCUCUGAUUAUAGCCUUGAAGAGAUAGAUGAAAAGGAAGAACUGAGUGAAGUGCCUAAAGUUGAAGCUGA